GGAUGUGUAGCUCAGUUGGCAGAGCAGGAAACUCUUAAUUUCAAGGUCGGGGGUUCGAGGCCCUUCACAUCCACUA
rnacentral:tRNA from 1 species